GGGAGUGCGAGGAGAAAAGGUCCUUCCUGGGAUUGUUCUUCUGUUCGCUCAACUAUCUCUUUUCAUUGGGCGAGGUGCUAUCCCAAGAAUUACCGAGAAAAUAGCUUCUUCCUUUUCUUCUAGUGGUGCUCGGGGUUAUGAGUAUGGCCCUGCUUUCAUCGCUGCAGUGAUUUGUCGCACCUUCCGGGUAGCUGGGGAGAAGUGCUUGGACCAUUAUGUAAGGUUAAGAACUCAAAAGAUAUCAGUUCUGUU